UCACAGCUCGGCCUGUUUGUUUUCCUUCGUGAUGAGAAGCUUCGUCUGGAUUUAGCUCCGUGAUUUAUUUCAAUUACUGAUGAAAAAAGACUUCUCGAGCAGGAGCUUCACGUCAGACCUCCACCAACCACAUGUUUGUUCUCUAACAGUGGUUCCUGCUUCUGUUUAGAGCUGAUUAAAAGAAGAAGCUCCUCAAGACUGAAGGCCUGAUAUUGACCAGCAGGACCCAGAGCCUCUUAUCAUAGAGUGGAAGAAAAGACCCUUAGACCAGUCUGGUGGAAGACCAACUCAAUAUGGAGGAGACCAAUAUCAGGUUUUUGGUCACUACAGUUUCUUUAAAGAGUGAGGAGGAUAUAAAACAACUUACCAAGAACCCAGAUUUAAAGACUCACAAAGACAGUUCCAGCUCUUCAAAGACUGACGUUAAUGAGGACAAUGAAGAGGAUGGUGAAAUGACCGAUCCUGACUCUCUGCUAAAUAACUCAUCAGACUCUGAAUCA